UCAAACUUGGUCAUUUAGAGGAAGUAAAAGUCGUAACAAGGUUUCCGUAGGUAUGUAUUAUAUCGAACCCUCUUUUUUUUUUUCUCGAGUCUCCCACUAACAUGAAAUUUUAGGUGAACCUGCGGAAGGAUCAUUCAUAAUAAAGUGUUUUAUGGCACUUUUUAAAAAUCCAUAUCCACCUUGUGUGCAAUGUUAGAUCUCGUCAAUCUUGGCGAGAUUUUUAUACAUCAACUCAUUCUUUAACUAAUUUGUCUGAAAAAUAUUAUGAAUAACUUAAUUCAAAAUACAACUUUCAACAACGGAUCUCUUGGCUCUCGCAUCGAUGAAGAACGCAGC
rnacentral:misc_RNA from 1 species